AUACGUAGGGGGCGAGCGUUGUCCGGAAUGAUUGGGCGUAAAGGGCGCGUAGGCGGCCCGGUAAGUCUGGAGUGAAAGUCCUGUUUUUAAGAUGGGAAUUGCUUUGGAUACUGUCGGGCUUGAGUGCAGGAGAGGUAAGUGGAAUUCCCAGUGUAGCGGUGAAAUGCGUAGAGAUUGGGAGGAACACCAGUGGCGAAGGCGACUGACUGGACUGUAACUGACGCUGAGGCGCGAAAGUGUGGGGAGCAAACAGGAUUAGAUACCCUGGUAGUCCACACUGUAAACGAUGAAUGCUAGGUGUAGGGGGUAUCGACCCCUUCUGUGCCGCAGUCAACACAAUAAGCAUUCCGCCUGGGGAGUACGGCCGCAAGGUUGAAACUCAAAUGAAUUGGCGGGG
rnacentral:rRNA from 1 species